rnacentral:rRNA from 1 species
GAUGAACGCUAGCGGCAGGCCUAACACAUGCAAGUCGAGGGGUAUAGGGAGCUUGCUUCCUAGAGACCGGCGCACGGGUGCGUAACGCGUAUGCAAUCUACCUUGUACAGGGGAAUAGCCCAGAGAAAUUUGGAUUAAUGCCCCAUAGUAUUAUUAAAUGGCAUCCUUUAAUAAUUAAAGUUCCAACGGUACAAGAUGAGCAUGCGUCCUAUUAGUUAGUUGGUGUGGUAACGGCAUACCAAGGCGAUGAUAGGUAGGGGUCCUGAGAGGGAGAUCCCCCCANACUGGUACUGAGACACGGACCAGACUCCUACGGGAGGCAGCAGUGAGGAAUAUUGGACAAUGGGCGCAAGCCUGAUCCAGCCAUGCCGCGUGCAGGAAGACGGUCCUAUGGAUUGUAAACUGCUUUUUANACAGGAAGAACACUGGUUCGUGAACCAGUCUUAGACGGUACUGUAAGAAUAAGGAUCGG